CUGUACGUUAAGCCAUGGAAUUAUUAAAUGCACGUGUAUUCCCUUAUAUUUGUUUUUAGUGUUUUUUUUAUUUACGACUUUUUUUUAUCUGCAAUCAUGUCGGCAGAUGAAAUUAUUAAACGUACAAUUCUGAAAAAUCAUCUUUUGCAGUUCUUAUAAGUCUUUGAGUCUUUGAGUCUUUGUUUACUCCUUGGCUUUAAAUUGUUAUUGUCUUAUAAACUAUUGGCCUUCAACUAUUCGUCUUUUGGUCGUUCAUGAGGAAAUAGAAUCCACAAAUGCACUUCUGAGUCACGGUUGAGUUCAAUAUCGUAGCUGCUAUGUAGUGCUACGUAGAUUUGACGAUUGAACAUGUAGCUAUAGACAAGUUGUUACAUAGAUAUUGAUAACGGCUACGUAGCUGCUACGAUUUUGAACUCAACCCAGGAUUUUAUAACGUGUUAUCGUUAUCUUUUAUCGAUU
rnacentral:lncRNA from 1 species